rnacentral:rRNA from 1 species
GACGAACGCUGGCGGCGUGCUUAACACAUGCAAGUCGAACGGUGAAAGCGGAGCUUGCUCCGCUGGAUCAGUGGCGAACGGGUGAGUAACACGUGGGCAACCUGCCCCUCACUUCGGGAUAACUCCGGGAAACCGGGGCUAAUACCGGAUAUGACCUCCUUGGGCAUCCUUGGAGGUGGAAAGUUUUUCGGUGAGGGAUGGGCCCGCGGCCUAUCAGCUUGUUGGUGAGGUAGUGGCUCACCAAGGCGACGACGGGUAGCCGGCCUGGGAGGGCGACGGGCCACACUGGGACUGAGACACGGCCCAGACUCCUACGGGAGGCAGCAGUGGGGAAUAUUGCGCAAUGGGCGAAAGCCUGACGCAGCAACGCCGCGUGCGGGAUGACGGCCUUCGGGUUGUAAACCGCUUUCAGCAGGGAAGAAGCCGCAAGGUGACGGUACCUGCAGAAGAAGCACCGGCUAACUACGUGCCAGCCGCCGCGGUAA